rnacentral:rRNA from 1 species
UGAGGAAUUUUGGGCAAUGGGAGCAAUCCUGACGCAGCAACGCCGCGUGGGUGAUGAAGGCCUUCGGGUCGUAAAGCCCUGUCAGGUGGAAGAAUGUCCCGGGACUGAACAGGUUCCGGGAGUGACGGUACCACCAGAGGAAGCACCGGCUAACUCCGUGCCAGCAGCCGCGGUAAUACGGAGGGUGCAAGCGUUAUUCGGAAUUACUGGGCGUAAAGCGCGUGUAGGCGGUCCCGCAAGUCUGAUGUGAAAGCCCCGGGCUUAACCCGGGAAGUGCAUUGGAAACUGUGGGACUUGAGUACUGGAGAGGAUGGGGGAAUUCCCGGUGUAGAGGUGAAAUUCGUAGAGAUCGGGAGGAAUAUCAGUGGCGAAGGCGCCCAUCUGGACGGUAACUGACGCUGAGACGCGAAAGCGUGGGGAGCAAACA